GGAUUAGAUACCCUGGUAGUCCACGCCGUAAACGAUGUCUACUAGCCGUUGGGGAACUUGAUUCCUUAGUGGCGCAGCUAACGCACUAAGUAGACCGCCUGGGGAGUACGGCCGCAAGGUUAAAACUCAAAUGAAUUGACGGGGGCCCGCACAAGCGGUGGAGCAUGUGGUUUAAUUCGAUGCAACGCGAAGAACCUUACCAGGCCUUGACAUCCUCGGGACUUUCUAGAGAUAGAUUGGUGCCUUCGGGAACCGAGUGACAGGUGCUGCAUGGCUGUCGUCAGCUCGUGCCG
rnacentral:rRNA from 1 species